AAGAUUUUAUUUUUUUAAUUUGACAGACAAGUGGGCAGAGAGGCAGGCAGAAACAGAGAGAGGAGGAAGCAGGCUCCCUGCUAAGCAGAGAGCCCGAUGCAGGGCUCAAUCCCAAGACCUCGGGAUCAUGACCCGAGCCAAAGGCAGAGGCCUUAACCCACUGAGCUACCUGCUUCCCCCUCUCUCUCUGUCUGCCUCUCUGCCUACUUGUGAUCUCUCUCUCUGUCAAAUGAAUCCUUGAGGACGGCCUGCCCUCCCUGAACCCCGCAGGCCUGCCCUGGGGGGAAAUGCUCACUGGUAGUAGCCACAAAACCGAAAAGAAAUGUGUCCCGCCCCACAUUCUUCCCUGCUCCCCCUACCCAGAGCCUUACGCACAGAGUGGAGAGUCAAGCCUUCCCCCUGCCAGCCUGGGAGGGAGGAGAUCACCUGCUGUGGUCUUUAGUAUUUAUCUCUUUGCAGUCUGCACUGAGGAGCUGGGAGCCCAGGCCCCAGCUGUGCUCGGAUGCGAAACCCUUCGGCCGGCUCCAGCAUAUGCAGGAAAGCCGGCCGGAGCUCCAGACUGUUUAAAACGAUGUUUGAUCCAAUCCAGUUGAAAAAGAUAUUUUAGUAAAUACCUGAACUCACUCACUUCUGCAAAGAUUGGCUUCGGCUGUGAGUUCCCCAGGAGGACCCUUGGAGAAGCCAGGAGAUGCCCGAAGGCCACGUAAAUUCUGUCCCCACUGUCCUCCAUCCGCUGAAUACAGACACGGUCAUGGUCGUUCCAACAGUGGCUUCUUGUGAUCUCAGGAGGAAGGACCUUGGCAGAGGCUGCUCCUUCGAGAGGUUUUGCAAAGCUUAAAAGAGGAUCCAGCUUCCAGCCCAGAACCUGUAAAAUGCACAGGAUAUGAAAGGCACCAUCAGCCACGUCAGACAGAGUUCUGUGGCGUUAAGUGCACGCACACUGUUGUGUGGCUGUCACCACCGUCCGCCUCCAGAACUUUCCAUGAUCCCAAGCCGAACCCCAGAGGGGGCAGCUGGCCUCCUGGUACCAAGCUGAGACUUGCCUGGGGCGUACUUCAAGUGACCAAGAGAGACCAAGAAGACUGAGCUGUGUCCACACCGGGUGCCGUAGGGCCCCGCGGCCCGAGUCCCUGUGCCGCCUAGAACUGGUUCCCUUUGCACCGAAAGUAGGUUUGCGGCACACCCGUGACGGGGGGCCGCAUCCAGGGAGAUGCCAGAAAUAGCGGCCUCCUCUGUGCAGGACGGCGAGGUUCUGUGAGCCUCGCUGUGGCUGGAGAAACAGCCACAGGCACGGAGCUCUUGGGUACCACGGCCACGCAGGCCUCCCGUCUGCUGUUUGACAUCUGUGCUGCCUCAACCAUAGGGGGCAUGGGUUCUCGUCCCCACUGACUGCUGAGGAAGAGGAGACCGGGGCCCAGAGACCCACGCACCCGAAUCCGCACAGCUGCCCAGUGGAUUCUAGAACCUUCUAGUCGACUCCAGAAUGCUUUCUGCCGCACCAUGCCAACUCUCUGUUUGGACUCAACACGUUACAACAGGACAAUAAGGCUAUGGAAACAAUAGAAAAACAUUCUAUUUAGGCCCUUUAAUGCGCUGUGUCCGAAAUCCAGCUGGGGCUCCUUGGCCUGUCCUCAACCUUCCGCCUGUUUGUUUGUUUGUGGGAUGAGGUGGGCGGAGGGCCCGAGGGAGAUGCUCCCCGACAGCCUUCCAGGUCAAAGGCGAGCUGCCUUCCCUCCGUGGAGAAGACCAGACGUCGAUGACAAAACGCUUCCGGACAGGAAGAUGGCUUCACCUGGAGUGUGGUGUUAAGACAGAGCAGUCUAGAAGUCGGUCUGCCAUCCCUCGGGGAGUCUGCUUGUUAAGGCUGCUGUGCUUUGCCCACAAAAACUUGAGACACUGUCAUCUGAUCGGGGGCCCUGCCUGGCACAAAGGCCCAUCAGACGGCCUGGAAGGGCUCAGAGCCGGGAGGACCUGCUGCCCGCGGUGCCCGGGGCUGUGGGGCCCACAAAGCCACGUCUCAGGGGACAGGCCUGACCAGGAGUCGGCUUCCAGUGUCCCUGAAAAGAUGAGGACAACCACGGUGGACUGCUGUUGCUCGCAGCCAGGGGCCCAGAACCCCGGAAAGUGACGUCUGCCCUCGGGCCCCGAAGCCCGCUGGUCUCAGGCAUCUACCUUCUGAGCCACUGGCGUGGUCGUGUUUUGUGGAUGGUCUGAAAGGGGCUGCGGUUCCCGUUUCCUUUUAGGACUGGCUGCUGUGGGUCUCGGGGACAACUUGGGGCGGUGCCUGGAGCAGGCGGUUGGGGCGAUGGGCCACGCGCAGUUGAGCCCCACGUUCUCCGAUCGGGUGCAGGGCCAAGUGCUUGGGGCGGGGGGUCCCGUGGGCUAAGAGCCUGCUGACUCGCACCCCCUGCCCCUGCCCUCUGCCAGCUUGGCGACCUUGAGCAAGCGUGCUUCUCCUCUGUCUCCGUGUGUCCGAUGGAGGUCCGUGUGGUGCCCGCUCCCACACUGUGGUGCAGAGCGGGUGAGCAGGACGGGAUAGGACACUCCGUGUCUGGCCCACAGCGGCCCUUCCGCUCGUGCCCUAUUUCCAGAACCUUAUUAUCCCUGGGCCUCCAUGUUUGUACAAACUCCUAAAUCAUUGUGUUUCUUGUGGAAGUUUUAAAAUCUCAGCAAACCACACAGGGCACCUGGGUGGGGAGGGCGCAGUCUGACUCUCGGUUUCAGCUCUGGUCGUGAUCUCAAGGUCAUGAGAUCGAGCCCCACGUCGGGCUCUGCGCUCCGUGGGGCGUCCGCUUGAGACUCUCCGUCCUUCUGCGCCCCUCCCCGCUCUCUUGCGUGCUCCCCCACCCCCUUCUAAAAUAAAUACAUCGAUCUUAAAAAAAAAAAAAAUCUCGGUAAGCUAACUUAAAACCAUU